rnacentral:lncRNA from 1 species
AUGCCACACACCCAUUAUCUGACACUACUUGCGCUGCGGCACAUCAGCAAGUUUGCAAAUUCACACGAGUUAAUGACGAGAAAGGGCAUGUGUUCCUCUGAUAGAAGAGCUAAAAAAGGAUUCCGGAGAGGUACGGCAGAUGGACGGUUCCAAGAAGAUAAAGAGGUUCCUUAUGGGUGCAUUUUGCAUCAGAUUAUACGAAAAUGAUAGCUAAAAGGUAAGGCGGUAAUAUUGUGUCUGCGGUAGGGUAAUUCAUUCAGAGAGGAAAGUUAAUGACCAUCUACAGCACACGUGCUGAUAAAUUGAAUAUAAAUCCGGAAAUUGCUAUGAACUGAAUUUGUUCCGUGACAUAGAGCAUAACCAUGGAUCAGGACUCAUAGAUCAUCGACCGAAAAUUCUGCCUGAAGUUCAAAACAAUUCCAUGGAUGUUUUGGAGGUUUGAGGUGGUAGUAAGAGCUUUUAUCUUCAUCAGGACUGUAGUUAUUGCAGAAUCAAAUGAAGAUUCUUCAUCUUCCUGGAGUUUUGAUUACUCUCCCAGUCAUAGAUUUUCCACGGCUCCUUACAAGUGGAAAACUUCUUCAUUGCUUUGUUAUUAAAACACAGGAUUCGGCAUCACAGGAUGACAGCAAAUUCAUAUUGCCUACUCGUCCUCACACACAUUCACACAAAUAAUCCUCCUUGAUCUAACCACACUCUUACAUAAUUAAAAUUGGACAUGGGUAUUAAUAAAAUCACUAGAUCGCUUUGUAGACCCGAGAGUGUAAGAGGUACUUCUGAUGACAAGUAUUUUGAUCCGAAUUUCUUUUAAAAAAUUGUUUGAGAAUCCUCAGUUCCGGAGAUGUAUAUUUGAUGUUAUUUGCUGGGCCGGACAAUACUUUCCUUUGAAAACUUGAAAUGCACUUCAAACUUCAAUGAACGUAGAGAGAUUGAUUUUGAUUGUAUUUUUUUCUUUUUUGAUGACCGUAUGGGAUUAAAUGUUGAUUCAAUUCAAAAGAAUUGCAGUGAGGUUCGAAUAAGUAAAAAUUUGAAAGAGAAGUUUACAUUUAGUUAUUUGGUCCUUGAAUUUUGUGCGAGAGCAUCAUCACGGAAAUUUUAGAAUAAGUAUUCACUUUACAGAUAAAUCUGGUUACAGCAGACGAAAAAGAUGCAUUCAGAAUAUGAUGCCUCAGCUACUUUGACAAAAAAAAAAAUAAGGACUUCAGACGUUUUAUUACAGUUAUUCUUCAAAAAUUACAUUGAAAGUGUCAAAAGAAUUUAGAAUUCUACUGUGAUAUUAAACUAUUUUCUAAUUAAUAAUCUUGAAAAAAUUUAGACCGGAGAAAGAUAACUUAGCUUUGUAAGCACAAUAAAGAACUUAUGUCAGAAAUUAAAAUUACAAAAUCUCUGAGCAAAGCAAACUUGGUAUUCAGCCGCGAGACCUUGACACUCGUCCUUCAGUUUCAGACGGCACAUCUAAAAUGAUUGAGCAGGAAGAAAAGUGAAAUUGUGAAAUUCGAACAUGAAGUACCACGAAAAUCAGACACUCGCCCUCCAGUUUUAGACAGCAUGUCUGAAAUGAUUGAGAAUGGAGAAAAGUGGGAUUGUAAAAUUUCGAACAUGAGGUACCGCAAAAAUCAGACUGCGAAGAAGUGUUAAGCUAAGAUUAGGACCAACCUCUGAGUAUUUUGUACUUCUUCAUCACCCUUUUCUUCGACGCCAACAUUCUUCUUGACAUCCAUUUCACUUUUACUUGACUCCUUCUUCUCUCAUUCGAUUCUUCUUUGCUUGCUGACACACCUCAGGACUUUCUUCAUCUGGGACAUGGAAGAAUCACUAAAUGAAAUCUCGUGGCCUGUCUAGUCUUCUUUUUCUCACCACAGCUGCCCGACGGUGAAGGCUGCAAUUGCUACUGCUUAGUUGGCCCAACUUGGGACACACAAACUAAUCAGUGGCUCCAGAUUCACUUUCUCCAUUCAAUAAAGCAAUGUACGAGUAAAGCAAUGUAGACUUCUUUCUGUACAAUACUUCAAAUUAAAUAUUAAAGAGAAUUUAAUGUGAUAAAAAAAGAGAAAAGAAAGAGAAAAAAAAGAAGAAAAAAAAUCAGAAAAAAAAAACCCAAUUACUCGACAUAACUUGCAUUGAAAAUUUAAAAUAAUUUAUGAAACACACAGCAGGGAUGGCUACAAUGACUUGAAAAUACAAAAUCCAUUUCCGUAGCUUUCAGUUGUCGACAAAGACUGCUGCUUCCUCUCACGGCACACUUCAACGACAGGACUUGAUUUCUUGGUUAAGUUUGUUUGCUGCACCUCCUUGUCCAGAGAGUAGAUCCGAAGUGCGAAGACGAUGAUACUUGGACUGCGCGAUGUUGCCGGAGACCGAUUCCUACAGCUGACUUAUUCAAUUUCUACGGCUGCUCCCGCCUGUUUCACAGCUGACGUUGCUGGAUGUUGUCUAUUUUUUGUUGAUAGACAAAAAAAAAAAAAAAAAUCACCGCCUGAUUGAACUUUACACUUAGUCUGAGCCAUUAUAACCCUGCUGCUGUUAAAGUUUUAUAACCUAACAUUUCUACUUAAAGCUUCAUCCAUGUUAUGAAAAGAAUGAAAUACAUUACCUUUAUUCUUCUGAGCUUUUUCGGAAUCACCGUCCUCCUGAAAUCAGAAAACAAAAUAAUUGACACUAAUAAAGGGAUGAGUAAUUAACAUGGGCAAGUCAUGAAUAUAUAUACGACACAUUAAUCAGUGACGAGGUCUAAUGCUUGCCAUUGUGAACAGCAUGCUGAUAUUUUAUUCUACUCACAUGGACUAAGGUGUGCUUAUUCAAUGAAUUAAGACAAUGAAUUUUAUUAUAGGGAUCCCAUAAAUUGUUCUCACGUUUAUGUGAGAAAAGCAUUGUGGAAAUUCCUCAUUUCAUAAAUACUCUCAAAAUUCUAAUAGGAUUCUCCCAAAAAAAUCCUUACUUUCCGAAACCUAAAAAUUGUGGUAAUUUUUGAGUUCAACAGAAAAAGGUACAUCAAGAAGUCAUAUCAGACAUCCGCUGAUUUUCACCCUUUUUUGUAGAGGCAAAAAACCCCCAAAGGUUUCUUAUAAAGAGCAAUGCCACCUAGAGUCAGAGGGUUGAUAAUUUAGGAAAUAGUGAAAGGCACUGUCAGAAUCAAACCACUUUGAGGUACUUUUUUAACAAAGUAAUGAGACAAAUUCGAUGAAAAGCCUCCGAUACAUUUCUGUCUUUAAAGCAAGGCAAGAUUGAGCGAGCAAGCGGCCGUGAGGAACUGCUAUUUCCUAUUACUUUGUCUGCGAUUUGUAGAAGAGAAUAUAAUUUCAUUGAACUUAAUUUAAAGAUGUUUCAGAUGCUAGUACUUGACAUAAACUCAUUUUUUCUUUACUCUUCUGACCAAAUGGCACUCCAUCACAAAGGUGAUGAAAUGAUUUAGCAACAUAAGAACAGCCAGGAUUUAUAUGUUAUCAUGAUGCAAAUUUUGUCUUUUCAUUGCGUUCAAUCACUUUGACCUACAACUUAUUGCCUUGUACUAACAAAAAUGAUGUGAAAUACAUUGUUGCUUAUUUUCUCCCUAUUUAUCAAACUUCUCUUAUUGACGAAGAAACGUUCCUGCUAACCGCCAGACGGUAAGUAUUCUGUGGUUGACCGCCACAUUUCAUAUUGACAUAAAGAUUAUUAAUGGACUCUUAAGGAAAUAUGUAAGUUUAACUAACCUCUCCAAGCAGUAAUUCUCAUCUUCUUCAAUAUUCAACAUGAUAGAAUCAUCAUCAUCAGCUGUGCCCUUGGUAGAGGCAACCUGAAAGAUAAAAGAAUGAAAUAAGUGAUUUCCUCCAUCACUAGACUCGAAUAGUCUCUUCACAUUUAUCUCUGAAGAUUAGAUUGACAGAGAUA